rnacentral:rRNA from 1 species
UGCAACCCCAGGUCAGGCGGGAUUACCCGCUGAGUUUAU